rnacentral:rRNA from 1 species
UACGUAGGGUGCAAGCGUUAAUCGGAAUUACUGGGCGUAAAGCGUGCGCAGGCGGUUAUGCAAGACAGAUGUGAAAUCCCCGGGCUCAACCUGGGAAUUGCAUUUGUGACUGCAUGGCUAGAGUACGGUAGAGGGGGAUGGAAUUCCGCGUGUAGCAGUGAAAUGCGUAGAUAUGCGGAGGAACACCGAUGGCGAAGGCAAUCCCCUGGACCUGUACUGACGCUCAUGCACGAAAGCGUGGGGAGCAAACAGG